rnacentral:lncRNA from 1 species
GUGGUGGAGCAUCAUUACCCUGCCAGGGUUCGGUGGAGCGUUGCGUGAAGCGUCUGUGUCUCUGCGAGAUCUUGCUGUGGGCCAGGUAUCCAUUCUCCUGCGGCAGCUUAGACCCUACGGAGACUAGAGGUCCGUGGGUGGUGGAGGAUCCUUUGCGUAGCAAAAAAGGAAGGCGAGUGCUCCUGCAUCCUCUCCAGACGGUACCCAGAACAUCCACCAUUAUUAGAACCAUCACCCUGCAGCUAGCUUGGACAUCAUUAAAAGGGCUCAUCAGAAGUAUCUGAUAUUCAUGAAGACAGAGUUUCAGGGUUUUCUGCCUGGAGCUACACCCUCCAGGAGCCCCUGCUUGGCUUCCCUUGCACCCAGCCCCAUCCCAACCAGUUACAACUUGGGCUGUGCAUGGUGUUUCUUGGAAACUGGAACACAGACUCCUCCGACUGCUCUCCAGGCCCUUUGUCCUCAAUGAGCAGAAGACCACAGAAGCUGGCUACUGAAGAAACUGUCCAGAUAGCAGAGCAUCUCACUGGCCUUGCUUAGCACCUUUACUACAGAGCAGUCUCUGAGUACUGACCACCUGCAGGGAC